rnacentral:rRNA from 1 species
AGAUUGAACGCUGGCGGCAGGCCUAACACAUGCAAGUCGAGCGGAAACAGAGAGUAACUUGUUACUUUGCUGUCGAGCGGCGGACGGGUGAGUAAUGCUUGGGAAACUGCCCAGUCGAGGGGGACAACCAUUGGAAACGAUGGCUAAUACCGCAUACGCCCUACGGGGGAAAGAAGGGGACUCUUCGGAGCCUUUCGCGAUUGGAUGUGCCCAAGUGGGAUUAGCUAGUUGGUGAGGUAAAGGCUCACCAAGGCGACGAUCCCUAGCUGGUUUGAGAGGAUGAUCAGCCACACUGGAACUGAGACACGGUCCAGACUCCUACGGGAGGCAGCAGUGGGGAAUAUUGCACAAUGGGCGCAAGCCUGAUGCAGCCAUGCCGCGUGUAUGAAGAAGGCCUUCGGGUUGUAAAGUACUUUCAGCGAGGAGGAAAGGGUAUAGUUUAAUACGCUAUAUCUGUGACGUUACUCGCAGAAGAAGGACCGGCUAACUCCGUGCCAGCAGCCGCGGUAAUACGGAGGGUCCGAGCGUUAAUCGGAAUUACUGGGCGUAAAGCGUACGCAGGCGGUUUGUUAAGCGAGAUGUGAAAGCCCCGGGCUCAACCUGGGAACUGCAUUUCGAACUGACAAACUAGAGUUUUGUAGAGGGUGGUAGAAUUUCAGGUGUAGCGGUGAAAUGCGUAGAGAUCUGAAGGAAUACCAGUGGCGAAGGCGGCCACCUGGACAAUAACUGACGCUCAUGUACGAAAGCGUGGGGAGCAAACGGGAUUAGAUACCCCGGUAGUCCACGCCGUAAACGAUGUCAACUAGCCGACUGGCGCCUUGAGCGCUGGGUGGCGCAGCUAACGCAUUAAGUUGACCGCCUGGGGAGUACGGCCGCAAGGUUA